GUCGAGAAUCUUUCACAAUGGGGGCAACCCUGAUGGAGCGACGCCGCGUGGAGGAUAAGGUCUUCGGAUUGUAAACUCCUGUCAUGCGUGAACAAGGUUGCUUGGUUAAUACCUGGGCAAAUUGAUGGUAACGCAAGAGGAAGAGACGGCUAACUCUGUGCCAGCAGCCGCGGUAAUACAGAGGUCUCAAGCGUUGUUCGGAAUCACUGGGCGUAAAGGGUGCGUAGGUGGCGUGGUAAGUCAGAUGUGAAAGCCCGGGGCUCAACCUCGGAACUGCAUCCGAUACUGCCAUGCUAGAGUACUGGAGAGGUGACUAGAAUUCUCGGUGUAGCAGUGAAAUGCGUAGAUAUCGAGAGGAAUACCAAAGGCGUAGGCAGGUCACUGGACAGUUACUGACACUGAGGCACGAAGGCCAGGGGAGCGAACGGGAUUAGAAACCCCGGUAGUCC
rnacentral:rRNA from 1 species